AGUGAACGCUGGCGGUAGGCCUAACACAUGCAAGUCGAACGGCAGCACAGUAAGAGCUUGCUCUUACGGGUGGAGUGUGGCGGACGGGUGAGGAAUACAUCGGACUCUACUUUUUCGUGGGGGCUAACGUAGGGAAACUUACGCUAAUACCGCAUACGACCUACGGGUGAAAGCAGGGGAUCUUCGGACCUUGCGCGAUUGAUUGAGUCGCUGUCGGAUUAGCUAGUUGGCGGGGUAAAGGCCCACCAAGGCGACGAUCCGUAGAUGGUCUGAGAGGAUGAUCAGCAACACUGGAACUGAGACACGGUCCAGACUCUUACGGGAGGCAGCAUUGGGGAAUAUUGGACAAUGGGCGCAAGCCUGAUCCAGCCAUACCGCGUGGGUGAAGAAGGCCUUCGGGUGUUAAGGCCCGUUUGUUGGGAAAGAAAAGCAGCAGGUGAAUACCGCGCUGUUCUGACGGUACCCAAAGAAUAAGCACCGGCUAACUUCGUG
rnacentral:rRNA from 1 species